rnacentral:rRNA from 1 species
UGGGGAAUAUUGGUCAAUGGGCGCAAGCCUGAACCAGCCACGCCGCGUGAGUGAUGAAGGCCUUCGGGUUGUAAAGCUCUGUGGGGAGGGACGAAAACGGUCCGGAAGAAACGACGGAUCCUUGACGGUACCUCCUUAGCAAGCACCGGCUAACUCUGUGCCAGCAGCCGCGGUAAUACAGAGGGUGCGAACGUUGCUCGGAAUUACUGGGCGUAAAGCGCGUGUAGGCGGGACGAUAAGUCGGAAGUGAAAUCCCCGGGCUCAACCCGGGAACUGCUUUCGAAACUGCCGUCCUCGAGUACCGGAGAGGGUGGCGGAAUUCCUGGUGUAGAGGUGAAAUUCGUAGAUAUCAGGAGGAACACCGGUGGCGAAGGCGGCCACCUGGACGGUUACUGACGCUGAGACGCGAAAGCGUGGGGAGCAAACAGG